rnacentral:lncRNA from 1 species
CUCUUUCUUGCAAUGGGCUCUGUAAAGCUCACUAGCUGCUAAGUAAGGGGCAUGAGGCUAUUCCUGAAGGUGGGUGACUUUAACAUAGUUCUAUUAGGCUAAACUCUGACAUAACAAAGACCAUUAGAAUAGGCAGGGUUGAAGCAAACAGUGACACCUUUAUUUCAGUCUGGGUAUGGCUGGGUAAAGGAUGCAAAGGCUAUUGGCCCAAACAAAGGAAGAGGAUAUGCUGUACAGGGGAGUUUAGGCAGGGGAGGGGGUCCUGUCGAGGAAGAUAGAAACUUUUAGGAACAGAACAAAGUGCAAGACAACAAACAGCGUGAACCCAGCCAUGGUCAGCAAGCUUGUCAUUAGACCAUGGAGAAAUGCCCAGGACUCUUGUUAGAACACUUACAGUGGCAAAGUUCCCUUAACCCAACUUGUGUCAUAAUGAAGCUCUGAAAAUUGAAAGAAAGCAAAAAUGUCUUUAUGACUGUGGUGGAGUCCCAGCUCAGCUCGGCUGAGGGCUCUCAGCUAAAUCACAUCACUGUGGAGGACAAAGCAGAUGAGCAUGGCAGGAGUGCAUGUGGGAAGCAGGACUACAUCUCAAGUAUGGUGACAGAGAGAGCCGGAGGCAGCCAGGACAGGAGCAGGCAUUAAUAACAACUCACUCUCCUGAGGACUUAUGCCAGGGGACUGGUAUUCUCUUCCUAGGAGAUCUGGACCUGUCGUCUUGGCCUGUUGAUUGCUUUGAGCUGAAGGCACCUGAGACACAGCAGGCACAAGAAGGGCUUUCUGACAUUCUCUUUUCCGUCUAAAAGCAGGCCAUACAGUUUCCCCUAAGAGAAGUGCCCUGCCUGGACCAGGAAGAGAAGAACACUCAUCUUCACAAGCUAAGGAAUCAAGGCUAAAACAGACCUGCACAAACAAACUUACUAAAAUAACUCUUCUAGUCUGUGAGUUUCUUUCAACGUGGUUCUUUAUCAUGUGCCCCUAGUUCACUACCCUUAGCUGAAUGCACCUAACCUCUUCUCCUUCAGAAAUGCAUCAUUUCUUUAUUUAAAAGAUAUCUGAACAGUCUCACCUGGUUACUCCUUUGGGAGUAACAUGUCAUUGGUGAGGACUUCCCUGUACAUGGGAAAGUCUGGCAAAGC